UAAAGUAUUCGAAUACUAAUAGUUGAAUAGUAAGAUUUCAAAAAUAAUGUUCGAAUAGUAAUAUCACAAUAAUGAUAAUUCGAGUGUAAUUCAAUAAUGACAGUCGAAUGGUCAUAUUUGAAUAGUAAUAUUUAAAUAACGAUAUUCGAAUAUUGGUAUUUGAAUGUUAAUAUUGAAAUAAUAAUAAUUAAACAGAGAUAUUUAAAUAUCAAUAUUCGAAUGGUAAUAUUGGAAUAAUAAUAUUCGAACACAGAUAAUCAAGUACAGUGGGUGUAGAAAGUAUUCGUACAUCGAUCAAUUUCCAAAAAAACUAUGUCAAAUUGUAGUUUACUAACUUACUUUUUAUAAACAAUGACAUCCUACAUAUUCUCGGAAAUCUCUAGAAUAGAUAGAGUACAAAGAAAAAAAAUAGCUAUUUAUGUAAGUUGCGAAAUUAACAGGAAAAAGACAAUUAAUCGAUAAAAAUACUGAAGCAAUAAGUAUUCACACAACUGUUUAAUUUUUAAGACUUCAUUAAAAAAAAGAAGAAAUUUACAUUAAUUUAAAUAACAUUAAUUUAUAUAUAUUUAAUAUAUAUGUUAUUACCGCACAACUGUUUAAUUUUUAAGAGUUAAUUUAAAAAAAAAAAAAGAAAUUUACAUUAAUUUAUAAGUAUAUAAUACUUUCUUCGUGGGAUUUCCUUUUGAUUUUAUAAUCAUUAUAAUCAUCUUCUAAGCAUUAAAUUAACUGAAUUAUUAGUUAUUCGAAGUGGGAUCUUUUUCCAUUUCACUAUUAGAGCCAUCUGUAAAAGUACUUUCCUAGAAAUUUGAUGUUUUCUAAUUCGUACGUAGCAAUAAACUAAUGUGUUUACGUUACAAACUCUACUAUAAAUGGUUCGUCAUAAGAAUUGUACAAAAACUUAUUGCUUCUAUACUUUUACCGACUUUUCGCAUUUUUUUGUUAAUUUCACAAAUUAUAUUAACUAGCAAAUGUUGUUUGGACUAUAUCUAUCUAUAUCUAUCUUAUAGAUUUCCAAGAUUAUGUAAUAUAUCAUUGAUUAUAAAAAAAGAAGUUAAGAAACUACAAUUUCCUCCAAAUUUUUGGGGGAAAUUGAUCGGUGUACGAAUACAUUCUACACCCACUGUAUAAAUAUUCAAACAGUAUUAUUCAAGUAAUAGCAUUCAAAUACUGGUAUCGAACUAGCGAUAAUCCAAUAGAAACCUAAAAUAGUGCCACUGGAAUAGUGAUAUUGAAUCAAAAAUAUUCAAAGUAUUCUAUUUGAAUAAUAAUAUUCCAAUACCAAUAUCCAAUUACACAAAUAUUAAAAUUUCUAACCCAUAUCCUAAUGCCCAGAAAAUAUUCCAAAGUCAAAUAAUUGAAAUACUCUUAUCCCUGGAUCGACCACGAAAGUUCUCCAAAGCACAUCCUCGGAGUCCUUCGUGAUGGACGUUCUCCGUUGCGACGUGGAACGCGGAAGCCCCAUCUAGCAUUCCGCGAGCUUGCUAUUAACCACGGGCAGGUCAUUAUUCUAGAGAACGAGGUGACGGCGGUGGUGGCCGUGUGGUAGUUUCCCACUCAAAAUGCAAAAACCCGAACGACAGGGCGACGUGGGAGGGGGUAACGGUGAUGCAUGCACCGGGUAACCGAACGUCCCGACGCCGAAGAAACCGUGGUGGGGAAACUUGUGUCUGACGCCACACCACGCACACCUCUACCCCAAGCUUAGUCUAGCCUUAAUAGUCAUCCACUGGAAGCCGAAGACGAAGAGCGAGCUACGAGGACCAGUCUCGGGAUAAAACGUGUUUCAUCUCGCCCUGCCGCUUCGACUCUACUUCUUUCUACGAUUUUCUCAGCGACACUGCUUUAUUUCGUGCUACGGUCGCUCUUGUGAAGUGUUUGCGUCUUGGUCGUGCCAGUGAAACAAAGUGAAACAGUGUUGGUUGACAGUUGGGGCUGCCUUCGAUCGGAUCCGUUCGUUUGAAACUCGUUUCGAACCCGGUUCGAUGGAAGUGCAGCCGCGUUUGAACUGGACACGUCCAACUUCUGAGCGGCACGGAGCGUCGCGAAGGUGGUGUUUCGAUUCGUGCUCUUACGAUGAGUUCUUCGCGGUGUCUACGGUGCGGAAUUUCACGCAGAAAGCGAUCAGUGACAGUUUCGCCGGGCAAAAUUCAGCGUGGAAUCUCGCGAUUCGUGCGCAGGAGUGAAUAUAUAGUUACUUUAUAAUUGUACAAAACGAGGGUUCGACGCAAUUACGGUUUAUAACAAGGUGCGAUUGUUCACCGAGCUACGGGACCCCGUACGCAAAUGUAACGCAAUAUCGUAUGAGUAGAAUUUCUUUUUUUAAGAGGAAUGAUUCAUGUAUUGUCUAGAACGUGGCGUUGUUUAUUGUACUUGGUCCCGGUUACUCAGGUGUGCGUAUGACACAGAAACUGUGAUACACGUCGUUCUCGAGGAUGACACACAAAUUUUAUUGGAUGAUUCACGGACGAUUGGAGUGGUCAUGUACAGAAAUAAAAAUAAAAUCGCCAGACAACGUUUAGCCAAACGUGCUUGUCCCUGACCUUCUUCUUCCCCCUUUCAAUUCUAAUUUGUCCCAAUUUUUCUCCUUUCAGGCACUGUUGUCUCCUUCAUUUCUUCUUCUUCUUCUUCAGCUGCCAGUGAUUCAUGUGUUUUCGUUUGAACAAUUAAUUUAACGAUGGGUGACUAAUUACAAUUAUUAUAAACGACAUGCCCUCCAAGACUGUUUUUCGAAUUUCGUGGGAUUUGGGAAUUACAAUAAUUGCAACAACUGUGUUCUGUUUCAAAUAAAUUGCAUUUCGAUGGCAUUAAUUUAAUUGGGGUACAAAUAAGAUUGAAAAUAGAUUUUUGUACUCUUUGAAGUUUUUAAGAGGUUGUGUGGGAAUAAUUGAAAUAGUAAUACAGGAAUGUUUACAAGGUGCAGAGAAAUCCGUGAGUUCGAGGGGUACCCUUUAUUGCAUGAACUUUAUUUAAUUUAUCAAGGAGAAAUUAUUUUUAGAUUAUUCAUACAUCUGUGAAGUAUAUAAUUCUCACUCUGAACAGUAGUAAGGAUUAUUUUUAUUAAAUAAAAUUAUUAUUACUAACAAUGGCUAAAUUUGUAGAAAUAUUGGAUGAAAUUAUACAAUUUUUUGAAUGAAAUUUACAAAAACGUUUUUAUUUUUUGUCUUACAUAUGCAAUAAAGGGUAAACGUGAUACUCCAAGUAGAAAUGGGCAAAAUUUUCAUCGAGGUACAAAAUUUCGAAUAAAUAAUUGAAGAUAAACAAUUCAGUUGCAAUCUACAUUAUUAUUGACUCGACCAGUAAAACUGCAUCAUCUAGUUGCAACUAUUUACCUACUUAAAAAUUGCACUGUUGUAUUAAUUCUACCCAUAGACAGUAUAAUUCAAACGUCUCAAAGUAUUACAUUUUUGAAAAAUAAUUAAGAAAACUAAUUUUUCAAAAACUAUAUAACGUAAUAGAGUUGUUAAUGACUCAUCUAAAGACUCGAUGCUACUAUAUGUAACUAAUCUUUAACAGAAUCUAAUCAUGGCUCGGAUUGAGUAGAAUUGAUGUAAACAAAAAUCUUAAAAUAUGAAAUUCAGAAGAAUAAUAAAUAAAACAAAGGAUUGAACAAAUGCGAAUAUAUCGUUGUAUUUUUCAUUCGUCAUUUGAGAUUCGAAUAAAAUACUGCCCAUGUCUGCUCGAGAGUUCCCUCGAAACUUGGUUUGCGCGGAGAGUCGAGCUGCGGAUUUACCAGAAAUAAUUCCUUCCCGCCUUCCAGAGUGCGCUGACACGCGCUCCGCCGUAUUAUUUCUGGCAUGGUUGAAUCACUGGCAGCUGGGACGGCCGAAAUAGUCGGCUUGGUCGGCCUGCUCCCUCCUGAGACUGACGAACGACGACGUCGACGAGUCUCGGUGGGGGUGGGUCUCGAGGAUCGAAGACGAAGGUGAGCCACGGAAAAGAACCUCCGUCGGGAUGAAUCACCGCGUUCUUUUUCGAUACCCCUUGACAGAUGCUUCGGAUCGCCGCUUGGCAGUUGUCUUCGUGGCUUCAGGUGGUCGUUUCUUCAAGGUCGUUGUCAUCCCAACGUCGAGGAAUCGAACGCCAUUCCCUCGAAUCGCGAUACUCGAUGUUUUCGUUACGAAAUUAAUAUUGUACGUCCUCGAGUUACGCAGAUUUAUAGAUCCCUAUGUUUGCUAUUUAUGUAUGCAUACAGAGUGUGUAUAUAUAUCCAUGUGUUCAGAUAUUAAAUGCAGUAGAAGAUCGAUUAUCGAAAUUAAGGAGGAGGCAAAAUAUUUUUAAAGAAUAAAGAAUAAGUCUUACUUACAAUGUAUUUUGUUUAUCGUAAUAUAAAAUUAAAUUGUUAAACUAAAAUUUCCAUGUUUGGUAAGUUUGGAAAUAAACAAGAUGCUUGGUACAAUAUAGAUGUGUUGUGUUAUUGAUUAAUAAUUUUAUCGUAAAUGAAGUUUUAUAUAUUAACAUCUUUCUUGUUCCUGAAUUUUGAGUACUCUUCAGAAAAUCUACCAGUAUAUAAUUUUCUUCGAAAAUCAUUAAACUCGUUUACGUCCAAUUAAUAUUUUUUCUGAGUUUUCAUGUAAUUCCUAAAAAAAUUGAAAUUUGAACAGCUGCUAUAAAUUGUGUUCAUUCAGUUACAAUAUCGAACAAUUUAGAGUUAACGUUAGAGUGACCUAUCUUGUUUCUUUCAAUAAUCAGUCUUCUCUUUAAUCGACGUUCUACUGUUCAAGUUUAGAUUUCUAUGACAAAGGAUUUGUUUAACUUUCACCCAUUUUUGCAAGGAAGAUUAUUUAUUAAAUCUAUUGUACGGAGAAAGAAAGAUCAGUGUUGCAAGGAGAUACAAACCAUACAGACAUUUCAAUCAGCUUUUCUAAAGUCUGCAGUUAAUCAUUUUUGUAAGGACAAAUUGCACGACUUUAUCCCUUCCACUCAUGAUACUUUUUAACUCAGAAAUAAUCUUUCCUUCUUCCAACAAUAUAUCGUAUUAAUCCAAUCCACUUUACACAGAAAUCUGUGCAAGUCGAGGACUCACUGUACCUUAUUCUACAAGCUCCAAUCUCCUAACUGUUACCUGACAUAUAAUAUUUAAUUUAAUAUAAAUAACAUUAACGCCUAAAUAUUUAUGCAAAAUCAGUGUAACGUUAUACUUUCACACAUUGUAUAAUAGUUUGCAUAAUUCAAUUAAAUUUCUUGGCAGUUCGUGUAACGUAUCUUAAUUUAAUUUUCUAACACACGAUUUUAUUAUUAUUCUGAAAUGUAGUUAAUAAUAUCCUAAUACUACACUACCUUGACAUUACUACAUAGAAGUCUAUUAAACUUUCUACGAAAUGUUCUGUUUGUUUAUCAAUUUAACCUAAAGCACUUUACUGUUACAGAAUCUGAGGCACCAUCUUGAUAGUCGACACUUCAGGUAACACGAAUCGUGCAAUGUCGAUUGAAACUUCGCCUCUCAUUCUGUCUAAUCACUCUGGCAUCUCGAAAUCAUUAGCCAGGACCAAGGAGGGUCGUAAUCGCUUCAACGGUUUCGCUUAAUAGAUCCUGAUCUCAUACGGCAGGGAUUGUACGCUUGAAAUAAAUUUAAUAAGCCUCGAAGACAGAUGGAACGACGAUGUAAGUUUUCUUGGUUCCUACCCAGCCAGCCCCAAUGCGACGUAUCUUUAUUUAUGGCCAACGCGAACGUGCCAGGUGUUCUGAUACAUUCUUUCUUCUGCCACGAUCUCGCAAUUAACGCUUUGUUGAUGGGGAGGCGUGCUGCUCGACAAAGGUGAUCGACAUACUAGUUAUGAUUCUCAUUACAAUUCGACCUACAUUAUACGAAAUAAUAUACGGAGAAUUGUAUAACAGCUACAUCGAAUUGAGUACGUGCUCUAAAAUAAAUGAGAUAGGUAUCAUUAGAAAGAUAGUUGCCUGGAAAUGGGUAUUUUGGGAAUUCCAAGUCAUCCCCACUUUAAAAAGAUAGAUAGUACUUGUAGAAAUUAAUUCUGUGCGAUUUUUGAAUAAAUUUAUGAUUUAUUUAUAAAGGAAAACCAACAAAAAUAAUUUUUAAGUUGAUUUGUAAUUUGUUAGAAGAAUGACUAUGGGUGAAAUUUCAAAUUGAGAUAGUUUAUAUAUUUAGAUUCUUUGUAAUGGAAAUUAGACUGAGGACUUGGAAGGCUGUGGUAACGUAUCAAAUUCAUGAGUAAAUAUUUCUAUUUAAACCGUAUUUUUAUGUAUGCGAAUAUAAAGGCACAGAAUUAAUUUCUAGGCUUAAUAGAUUCUUUUAAAAUGAUACACAGAUCUAUAACGAUAUUUAUUUGAAGAAGGAGAUUAAAUAGAAAAGAAAUGUAAUGAAAGGUCAAAGAAAGUAUUAAUAUAGUAACCGAUGCAAAAGUUUCAGUUUAGUUGUGCUACUUUAGGUUAGAAAGGAUUAAGAUUCUACUACCAGUUCUAGUUGCUAGAUAGCUAGAUUGUUCAGGACAGAAUCCAAUUAAGAUUUUGCGCGAUGCUCGACAGAAAAGGGGUCGUAUUGGCCUACGAAAACGUGCUUAAUUACGACGACCCGAUCCGUUCUACCCCCCUUUCGCAAUUAAUCAGACGAACGGCCGAGAUUAACGCGCCGGAUUCACGGUCUAAUUUUGCGUUGGGUCGUAACGGUGUAGAAUGAUGAAGUACUGCAAGAAGCUACGAAGAGUGGCACUGAUUGAUGUUCACGAUGUAAGAGAAAUCUGUCAUUAUGUUCAUAAAUUGCCUUUUCGUUAAAGCAUCGAUAUUAGUCACGAGUCCAUGCUACACGAAAUCUUGCUCGAUAGUGAAGUAACCUUUCUCAAAAAUUAUUGAUCAGUUUAAACUGAAUUAUUUAAAUAUUCGUCUAAUAUGUCUUUUUACAUUUGUACAUAUUUUUCUAUAGUUAAUUGUCUAUAAUUUCACAUAGCUUUGAAGUCAUUAUUUGCAUUUUUGAAGUUUGAUUCAAUCCUACUAUCGAUAUGUAUUGAUUGUGAUUUUUGAACAAUAGUGUUGUUUAUAAACAAGCUAUUUUAUUUAUUGAAUAGCGUUUAUAUAAACUAUAAAUAUGAAUAUUAAACGUCCUUAUUGUGCACAUAAUUUCAUUAUAUUUAAAAUAAAUAUUUCGUCCUGUUCGGUAUGACGAUAUAUAUACAUAAUUUACAAAUAUAAAUGGAACAAGAAAAAAAUAAAAGAAAGAUCGUUAGUUUUUUUAAAUAUAUUUUGUCUCAGUAAAAUGUUAAAUAUAACAUAAUAAUGCAAGACUGGAUUUUAACGGUCUUGCAGAAUAGGUUUUUUGCGAGGCAGUGGUACUGUUACCACGCAUUGAAAUCACUCGCGUGGCGUUCGUGUUAACCCUUUGCACUCCACUUGCCUGGCUACAACGUCGAACAUAAUAUGCAUCACAUUUCAGUUUAAGUAUUAUUCAUGGUAACACAAAGUAAGUCAAUGAAAUGAACGAAUGAAAAUUAAAUUAAGAGCAUUUAUAUAUUUUUGUAGGAAAAAUUCUCAGAUUGCAAGGGUUAAUGUCAUGACUCACGAUUUUAUUAGACAAUAAUUAGCUACAUUAUUAAUUUAAAUUUUGUCAUUUUUAUAAUGCGAGAAAAAUUGUUAUUUUAGCUCACACAAAACGUGUUCGUAAUAUUAUUAAUAUUAAAAAUUAAUUUGAGUGGUACAAAAUUAUAACCAUCAGUGAAAUAAUUUUUUCAGAAUUACCAGUAUGUUAUUUUCCAGUCUAUUCGUUAUAGCGAACAUUGUGUGUUAUAUCUUUCGUGCUCAUUUUUUAUAUACAGUUGUUUUUAGGGACACAAUAAAGACGCUAAAUUAAUAAAUAAACUAAAAUGUUUGAACUACUCAUAAUUUCAAAGAUUUUAAUUCGUAUUAAUAUACACUAGAAGGAAGUCUCGAAGUGUUCGAAAAUGUUUGUUCGUCCAAUUGUUUUGAAGUUACCAAUGAAUAAAUCGGUUUCAUCAACUGAAGAAAUUGUAAUUUUAAGUAUAACGUAACACGAACGUCAACGAUUCUCGUUGAGACACGUUGGGGAACGCUGGAACGUUGUCGUUCCGUUCGCGGAGCAUCGAGUGCUCGUCGAAAUGCGAGCACUUUUUAUGUGCGCCAGUCACGCUGUAGCGUCCAAGAUGAUGGGCUUUUAUUCUGCUUUCUCCACGCUAGAGAGCGUAGACGAGGAGAACGGUUGUCUAGUUUCAAAGUAGCCUGCUUGAAAAUGAUACCCUCCCCUGUUAGAGGCAGGGGGUCUAAUAGGUAAAGAAUCAUGAUCUAUGUAUAGAAUAAAGUACCCUAAUUUAAUCUUCCACACCGUGAAAUGUGGUAAUCUAAACACGAACUCCUACGUGGAAUACUAAUUUCUAUAAACACUCCAAUUCCUACUUUGUAAAGAAUAUAUACAGGUCUGUCUGUCGAAUAUACUAUUCGACGUUUACAAACCAUUUGGAUUUGAAUUUGAAUUUUAGCGGUUUAAGAUCUGGUUUUGUUAACUAAUAAUUCUUUUCCACAUUGCAAUAUUUGUAAACGUGUGGAGUAAAAUACAGAGUGAUGGUGAAGUUAUCUAUUUAUAUCUAACAGGAAGAUAUUAAUGUUAAUUAUUUAGACUACUUUAUCAUUUUCUAAAUGAAUUCGAUAUAAUUCUCCUGUCUUUUAUCAAAAUAGAUAAUAGCAAAUUGUUUCAUAUAUAGUUUCAUAUAUUAAGACCAAUACAGUCAAUAAAUAAAUAAAUAAUUCUUUUAAAGGAGUUUCUUUUAGUUAAUUCUUUUAGUACAUAGAAAUAAAUUAAUAAAUUAAUUUUUAAACCAAUCAUCGAAGCUUUAACUUUACUUCUUUAAUAUAAUUGUUAAUUCCAUGGCAACAGAAUUAUGUAUCUUAUCUUCACUAUUAUCUAUUGGCAACGCAGUAAUUACUAUUUUUGACUUGACAAAGCAACGUAAACAAAUAACAGGUGUCCCUGACAGAAGUGAAAAGUUCAGACAUGAAAUAAUCAUAGCGAUCCGAGUGCAUAAGUCUGCCAAAAGUUAUAAAUAAUUUUGUUUCAAUUUUGCAAAUGAAUAUUAAUAUUUCACUUGUCAUGUUCCUAUUAAUCUUAAAUUCCUUAAGAAUUGUUAACAAAUGUGUCGAUAAUUGGGACAUUGUACAUGACAACGUUAUUAAUUUUCAAAUAUUAUGUACAGAUAUGUUACUGUCAGGUCCGAAAGGAUUAUGUAUUCACACGUCCAAAAGAAUAAUAUAAUAGCAUUAAUUAAAAUUAGUUAUCCUACAAGUACAUCGAGUAUUUAAUCAAGUUACCAAUAAUCUCCAAGUAAAAUUUAAAAUGUCUACUUUAUUUUUCACAAAUCAUCGAGCAAGAAACGAAAACACUGUUUUACAUUUCACAGGCAUAGAUUGUAUCGAAUUUCUAAGCGUCGAAAUUCUAAGCGACCGGCGGCGUGUUUCCGUGGAACAUAUUUAUGGUAAUCUUAUUUAUGCCUCGCGAAUAAAACAAGAAAGUCCUCUCGUAGGAGUGCACGAGAGCCCAACGAAGAGACCCCACGUGAAUUUACCGAGUCUUCGGGGAGUUCUGAACCGGCGGCGACCAAAUAUAGCUGGGUAAUGUAAUACACGUCACGUGGUCAGAAAUAGCUUAAGAAGAGGGCCUAGCCGAGUCUGCACACGGCACUGCGUCCGUCCCUCGUUUUGAAACGAUCCCGAGUACCAGAAGCGAUUGAAGGAAAUACGUUUACCUCUUCACGCUCGUUAAACCAGUUACCGAGAGAAAGGUGAUACUCGGAACAGAAACGAACCAUCGUAAAAGACGAGUAUAUACGUAUAUACAUAUAUGCAUAUGUAUAUGUAUAAACUCCACGGCACAUGGAGGCCAGUGUGACGUCCGAAGAAAAAGAAAAUGAUUUUUCUCUGGCUUCUUUCAAUCUCCUGGUUAAAAAUACAAGUUCAGGAGUAUUCAUGGUCAAAUCAAUAUAUGUCUCAUUAUUAUUUAUUAGUGGUUAUUCAUGGACUUUCAGAGUAGUAUGUUUGUAAAAUUUGGAAGACUACUAUGCAGAUUUCAGGAUGGUCUCAAUGAGUAUGACUGGUAUGAUUUACUUUAUGGUGGUUUCGAUUGUAUAUUUGCAGCUCCUUUUAGUUCAGAAGAAAGCUAAAUUAUACAAUCUGACGUAUCUGAAGGAUUUGUUAUAUUUCCAUGCCUUAGUUAUAAAAGGUAACCUAAUGAUUAUUAAAAUACACGUCACUGAAUUCGUCUCUAUGUUAUCCAUAAUUUUGGUUAUGAAGACAAAUUUUGAUCCAUUUUAAAGAUGCGAAGAAAAUGAAAUUUCGAAAGAUAUACGGAAUAUAAAAAAAAUUAAAUAACUACGCGGUACCCUUCAAGUUAUGCAGCAUUUAUUUGUACUGAUAUUUAUUAAGUUUACCCUGUAUAUUUAUAGUGAACUUAAACCAAAAUAUACACUGCAAUAAUUAAAAUUUCAAUGGACAUCAACUUUUUUGGAAAAUAACAGUUUAAUAAAACAAAAAUAGAAAACUUGAUUAAAUUAUGAACUAACUAGUAGGCAUAACAGUAUUCCUAACGGUGCAGGUGAUAUUAAACAUAAUGGGCAUUUUAAUAGCCAAUAUCCUGCUAUUGUACAUACUCAAUGAAUUACCAAUUUGUGAUAUUUUAUUUUUCUAAUCGUAUUGUAUUUUUGUUAUACUGAAUUCAUACAUUAAAGAAAAGUUUACGUCAAUUGGAAUCUUGAUUAAUACUCUAUAUAUAAUGUAUAUGAUUCUUGAAAUGUUGAUUUAUAAUUUAUAUAAUUAAUUUUUAGAACCAACUUUAAUGGGAUCCUUAAUUCUGAAUAUAUAUUCAUCAUAAUAUAUUCAAAAUAGUUCCAACAGUUAAUUACAUAAAUUACAAGUCAACACUUAAAGUACUACGAAUACUUCUACGACAAUGUAUUCACACGAAGCGAGUCAAUGGCUUCAUCAGUAAAUAAUAAUAAAAACAUUGUUUACGAUGACCACGAAUACCAAUCAAAAUCCUUAUUUCAACCACCAACCCCCACACUAAUACAAUUUUUAAAUUCAAUGUCAUCCUCGUCCAGACGAUGGAAUAGUUCCCAAAAACACGUGGAUUUCUUCCACGUUUUCUUUCUCGAUAUUUCAUUGUCACGCUAAAAGAUAGUUCCUGGCAUCGAGAAUAGGCAUGGUUACAAAUACUUUCGUUACUUCUCGAGCAACCGACAGAUAUCGCGUUUUCUCGCGUUCUGUUAUUUUAGCCGCGAUAAAUCUGCCAAAACGAUUGCAAUGGGAUCGCUGGUUCCCCGUCAGACUUGACGUCUUAUUGUUUGAUCGAUCGUUAGGCUGAUUAGGAAUCCCGCACCCGUGUAACCCAAGACUAUUUUUGUUCCUUCGUCGCGAAGUCCCACCCCGGGUUUCAUAUUAUUUUCGGGGUGGCGGACGCGCGUCGCGAAUUGUUUUACGAGGCGCGAGGUACGUGAGUCACGAGCCACGUUCCGCUUCGAUUCCGUGGUAUACGUUUCGUAAGCAAAACAUAAGAGAAUUUAUGGCAACGUGAGCAUACUAGCUGGAAUUGCUACUUUAUAUCUGCGGUUUGCGCGCUAUUCGUCGAAUCUUAACGGUUCACCUUCAUCGAGAUCGGUUAAAAAUAAAGGGUUUCCAGGAUGGCGUUUCAACAUUUUGCUUUUUGAUAACAUAGCCUGUUUACUUUUCAUGGCAGUGGGUGGCCGUCUAAACGACAUAGUGUCUAACUUUUAUUUACAAUAGAAACUAGGAUAUACUCAGAGUUAGACACGAAUGACGUUAAGAAUAAUAAGAAAUUAACGUUUCAGUAGAUUUGAACUUCGUCAUUGUAACUUGUUUUGUAGGGUAAGACUGUGGAAUUCAGUUAUUUUUAUUCUUAAUUUUAUUUAUGAAUGAAGUUCGUCCUACUCUGGAUAUAAUUCAUAACAUUUUAGUUUUAUAAAAAAACAAAAUCCUAGAAUUCAUUUUGGAAAGUACUUUACUUAAUAAUAUAACAUAAAUAUAAUAUUUCGCAUGUAGGUAUCUUAAUAUUUUCAUCAAUUUAGUAUUGGUAGUUUUUGAAUUUUAUUUCUUUUAAAGUUCUUGAUUUAACACUGGGUAGCAUCAAAAUGUCUACCUAAACAGAUUAGGGCUAGAACUUUAGAGGGUAGUUGUAACGAUGUUAAAAAUUGAACAAAUUUCGAGAUUUUUUUAACCCAUUCAAUAAUCAUUAAAAAAUAAAAAAAUGGGAAAAAGAACACAUUCUUUUUAUGAACGAAUUUUAUUUACUGAGCAUAUAUAUCCCUCAUAAAAGCCAUUUCGGGCCCAAAAUAAGACUGAAAGUUGAUAUCUACUGAUUAAUUUUUAUAAAAUUAACCCUAAUAGAAAUAUGUGAAAAUAAAAUUAAAACAACUCGUGUACACUGUACAAAAAUUUACACAGGGUUGCCCAUCUGUAAUCUGCGCUUCUACAUAGCAGAAAUCGUAUUUAUUUUCACUCGAAUAUAUUCAGGAGUGGUCUUUUCUGCAGGUAAAAUUUCUCGUGCUAGUUAUUAUAUUUACGAAGACGCUAUAUCAAUUUAUUUAUAUAAUUUAAUUUUCCCUGCCAAGAAAUUUGUAUUUUGUGCUUUUCGAUUUUCCUUUCCGCAUUAUGCAAACAAAUAAUGUACAAACAUGCAAGUUUCAUAGAAGCAUAUAGAUCUAUAAUAUAUAUAUCCAGUUGAUACUUGAUCCUUUGAUAUACGCAAAUACCAUUUUGUAUUUCGAGAUUAGAAACUCGCUUAGAAACUAUUUCCUUAAUUAAUCGAACCUGACGAUGUAUCGUGUAAGAUCGUCGAAUCGACAACAAACGAGCCUUGUACGUACUUAAAACAUUCGUUUUUAUUGGCCUUUCCAUUGUACAAUAAUAAAUAAUCAAUUAGUAGAAUGUUAAAAGGUAUCUGCGUGUGUAUAUUUGUGUAACUAUAAAUUUUUUCGUCGGUGUGACUAACUGUAAAUCGUGUCUGGAGUAAUGUAUACACUUAUAUUUAUAUAUAUUAUGUAUUUUGUAAGAUAAAUAUAUAAUUCUUUAUAAUGAACAUCGACACUAAAUCGAACGAGUAAACGAGUCACGUGUUCGUAUAUUGGCGAUGCUUUGACGUUACGCUUGGUUUACUGACAAUUCUCUUCCCUCUCGCGAUUAUUCGCGAUUCUCGCGUGAAACGAACGAUCGCGGUCGUCGAUCGUUCGUCAAUUCUCUCGAUUUGAACUUAUGUACAACAAUGGAAUCGAAAGAAAUUCAUCGAAACGUCCCGACUCGAAGCACCACGUCGGAUAUUUCAAAUUUUCAACGACAAAUUCGACGCUGGUGAACGUCGCCCGGACGGGUCUCGCUCGUGAUUUGCACCUUUGGAUGGAAAGUUUACCUCGUCCGUGCCACGUUCGAUUAGGGCUGCGGCUACUCGAUGAAUUCAGUAUUCGAACAUUUUAUGGGUAUUCGAAUACUACGAAAAAAGUUUGGAUGGUGCUGUUUGAAUAUUACUAUUCGAAUAUUACUUUUGUAUAUCACUUUGAACAGUAGAAUGCGAAUAUUAUUCUUUGAACAUUAAUAUUCAACUAUUGUUUUUCAGAUAAUGCUGUUUGAAUAGUACUAUACGUAUAUCACUUUUUGAAUAUUAAUAUUUCAUUUUCAUUUUUUAGAUAAUGCUGUAUGCUAAUAUCUAUUCGAAUAUCUUUUUAUCCAUAUCAUUAUUCUAGUAUUACUAUUUGAUUAUUACUAGAUUAAUAUUAAGAUUAUAAUAUCAUUUUUUGAACAUUACUGGUUGAAUAUCAUAUUUGAAUAUUAUUAUUUGAACAUUACUUAACGAAUACCAUUUUUUUAAUAUCACUAUUUAAAUAUCAUUUUAUAAAUAAUGCUACUCGAGUAUUAUUUGUAUAUUACUAUUUCAAUACAAAUAUUCUUAUAUCAUUUUCUGAACAUUGCUAUUUGGAUAGCAUUUCUGAAUAUUACUAAUUGAGCCGUACUAUACGAAUAUCAUUUCUCUACUCUUAUUAUGUAAUUAUCAUCAUUUAAAUAUUGCUACAUGAAUAUUAUUAUUCCAAUACCAUUUUAUCAGUAUUAUUAUUCCAAAUCCUGUCACUUUUUGAACAUUACUCUUCGAAUACAAAUAAUUCUUUCAAUAUUACCAUUCGAAUACGAGUAAUAUUAUAAAUAUUACUAGUCGAAUAUCAUAUUUAGAAUAUAUAUUUCCAGCUAAAUAUUCGAAAAACAUUCAGACAG